rnacentral:rRNA from 1 species
UGGGGAAUUUUGGACAAUGGGCGCAAGCCUGAUCCAGCCAUGCCGCGUGCAGGAUGAAGGCCCUCGGGUUGUAAACUGCUUUUGUACGGAACGAAAAGCCUCUUUCUAAUAAAGAGGGGUGAUGACGGUACCGUAAAAAUAAGCACCGGCUAACUACGUGCCAGCAGCCGCGGUAAUACGUAGGGUGCGAGCGUUAAUCGGAAUUACUGGGCGUAAAGCGUGCGCAGGCGGUCGUGCAAGACAGUGGUGAAAUCCCCGGGCUCAACCUGGUAAGUGCCAUUGUGACUGCAAGGGUGGAGUACGGCAGAGGGGGAUGGAAUUCCGCGUGUAGCUGUGAAAUGCGUAGAUAUGCGUAGGAACACCGAUGGCGAAGGCAGUCCCCUGGGCCUGUACUGACGCUCAUGCACGAAAGCGUGGGGAGCAAACA